rnacentral:rRNA from 1 species
UACGUAGGGGGCAAGCGUUGUCCGGAUUUAUUGGGCGUAAAGAGCUCGUAGGCGGUUUGUUAAGUCGGCGGUGAAAUCUCGAGGCUCAACUUCGGGAUGCCCUUCGAUACUGCCAUGACUUGAGGCAGGUAGGGGAGUACGGAAUUCCUGGUGUAGCGGUGAAAUGCGCAGAGAUCAGGAGGAACACCGGUGGCGAAGGCGGUACUCUGGGCCUGGACUGACGCUGAGGAGCGAAAGCUAGGGGAGCAAACAGG